UACGUAGGCAGCGAGCGUUGUUCGGAAUUACUGGGCGUAAAGAGUGUGUAGGCGGUGCUCUAAGUUUGGUGUGAAAUCUCCUGGCUUAACUGGGAGGGUGCGCCGGAAACUGGAGUGCUCGAGCGUGGGAGAGGAAAGCGGAAUUCCUGGUGUAGCGGUGAAAUGCGUAGAUAUCAGGAGGAACACCUGUGGUGUAGACGGCUUUCUGGACCAUAGCUGACGCUGAGACACGAAAGCGUGGGUAGCAAACAGG
rnacentral:rRNA from 1 species